rnacentral:rRNA from 1 species
AUUGAACGCUGGCGGCAGGCCUAACACAUGCAAGUCGAGCGGAUGAGAAGAGCUUGCUCUUCGAUUCAGCGGCGGACGGGUGAGUAAUGCCUAGGAAUCUGCCUGGUAGUGGGGGACAACGUUUCGAAAGGAACGCUAAUACCGCAUACGUCCUACGGGAGAAAGCAGGGGAGCUUCGGGCCUUGCGCGAUCAGAUGAGCCUAGGUCGGAUUAGCUAGUUGGUGAGGUAAGGGAUCACCAAGGCGACGAUCCGUAACUGGUCUGGGAGGAUGAUCAUUCACACUGAAACUGAGCCACGGUCCAGACUCGUACGGGAGGCAGCAGUGGGGAAUAUUGGACAAUGGGCGAAAGCCUGAUCCAGCCAUGCCGCGUGUGUGAAGAAGGUCUUCGGAUUGUAAAGCACUUUAAGUUGGGAGGAAGGGCAGUAAGUUAAUACCUUGCUGUUUUGACGUUACCGACAGAAUAAGCACCGGCUAACUCUGUGCCAGCAGCCGCCGUAACAC